rnacentral:rRNA from 1 species
AAAUUGAAGAGUUUGAUCAUGGCUCAGAUUGAACGCUGGCGGCAGGCCUAACACAUGCAAGUCGAACGGUAACAGGAAGCAGCUUGCUGCUUUGCUGACGAGUGGCGGACGGGUGAGUAAUGUCUGGGAAACUGCCUGAUGGAGGGGGAUAACUACUGGAAACGGUAGCUAAUACCGCAUAACGUCGCAAGACCAAAGAGGGGGACCUUCGGGCCUCUUGCCAUCGGAUGUGCCCAGAUGGGAUUAGCUAGUAGGUGGGGUAACGGCUCACCUAGGCGACGAUCCCUAGCUGGUCUGAGAGGAUGACCAGCCACACUGGAACUGAGACACGGUCCAGACUCCUACGGGAGGCAGCAGUGGGGAAUAUUGCACAAUGGGCGCAAGCCUGAUGCAGCCAUGCCGCGUGUAUGAAGAAGGCCUUCGGGUUGUAAAGUACUUUCAGCGGGGAGGAAGGCGGUGAGGUUAAUAACCUCAUCGAUUGACGUUACCCGCAGAAGAAGCACCGGCUAACUCCGUGCCAGCAGCCGCGGUAAUACGGAGGGUGCAAGCGUUAAUCGGAAUUACUGGGCGUAAAGCGCACGCAGGCGGUCUGUCAAGUCGGAUGUGAAAUCCCCGGGCUCAACCUGGGAACUGCAUUCGAAACUGGCAGGCUAGAGUCUUGUAGAGGGGGGUAGAAUUCCAGGUGUAGCGGUGAAAUGCGUAGAGAUCUGGAGGAAUACCGGUGGCGAAGGCGGCCCCCUGGACAAAGACUGACGCUCAGGUGCGAAAGCGUGGGGAGCAAACAGGAUUAGAUACCCUGGUAGUCCACGCCGUAAACGAUGUCGACUUGGAGGUUGUGCCCUUGAGGCGUGGCUUCCGGAGCUAACGCGUUAAGUCGACCGCCUGGGGAGUACGGCCGCAAGGUUAAAACUCAAAUGAAUUGACGGGGGCCCGCACAAGCGGUGGAGCAUGUGGUUUAAUUCGAUGCAACGCGAAGAACCUUACCUACUCUUGACAUCCAGAGAACUUAGCAGAGAUGCUUUGGUGCCUUCGGGAACUCUGAGACAGGUGCUGCAUGGCUGUCGUCAGCUCGUGUUGUGAAAUGUUGGGUUAAGUCCCGCAACGAGCGCAACCCUUAUCCUUUGUUGCCAGCGGUCCGGCCGGGAACUCAAAGGAGACUGCCAGUGAUAAACUGGAGGAAGGUGGGGAUGACGUCAAGUCAUCAUGGCCCUUACGAGUAGGGCUACACACGUGCUACAAUGGCGCAUACAAAGAGAAGCGACCUCGCGAGAGCAAGCGGACCUCAUAAAGUGCGUCGUAGUCCGGAUUGGAGUCUGCAACUCGACUCCAUGAAGUCGGAAUCGCUAGUAAUCGUGGAUCAGAAUGCCACGGUGAAUACGUUCCCGGGCCUUGUACACACCGCCCGUCACACCAUGGGAGUGGGUUGCAAAAGAAGUAGGUAGCUUAACCUUCGGGAGGGCGCUUACCACUUUGUGAUUCAUGACUGGGGUGAAGUCGUAACAAGGUAACCGUAGGGGAACCUGCGGUUGGAUCACCUCCUUACCUUAAAGAA